rnacentral:tRNA from 1 species
GUCCCCGUAGCUCAGUUGGACAGAGCGCUGGCCUGCGGAGUCAGAGGUCGUGGGUUCGAAUCCCGCCGGGGACA